rnacentral:rRNA from 1 species
CCGCCGGCGACCGGCGCACGGGUGAGUAACACGUAUGCAACCUGGCCGUGACAGAUGGAUAACCGGGAGAAAUUCCGCCUAAUACAACAUAAUGCCGGGAGGGGACAUCCCCUGCCGGUCAAAGGGGGCGACCCCGGUCAUGGAUGGGCAUGCGGCGCAUUAGGUAGUUGGUGGGGCAACGGCCCACCAAGCCGACGAUGCGUAGGGGUUCUGAGAGGAAGGUCCCCCACAUUGGAACUGAGACACGGUCCAAACUCCUACGGAAGGCAGCAG